rnacentral:rRNA from 1 species
AGAGUUUGAUCAUGGCUCAGGACGAACGCUGGCGGCGUGCCUAAUACAUGCAAGUCGAGCGGGGUUUUAAAAGCUUGCUUUUAAAACUUUAGCGGCGGACGGGUGAGUAACACGUGGGCAACCUGCCUGUAAGACUGGGAUAACACCGGGAAACCGGUGCUAAUACCGGAUAAUCCUUUCUGACACAUGUCGGGAAGCUGAAAGACGGUUUCGGCUGUCACUUACAGAUGGGCCCGCGGCGCAUUAGCUAGUUGGUGAGGUAAUGGCUCACCAAGGCAACGAUGCGUAGCCGACCUGAGAGGGUGAUCGGCCACACUGGGACUGAGACACGGCCCAGACUCCUACGGGAGGCAGCAGUAGGGAAUCUUCCGCAAUGGACGAAAGUCUGACGGAGCAACGCCGCGUGAGCGAAGAAGGCCUUCGGGUCGUAAAGCUCUGUUGUCAGGGAAGAACAAGUACCGGAGUAACUGCCGGUACCUUGACGGUACCUGACCAGAAAGCCACGGCUAACUACGUGCCAGCAGCCGCGGUAAUACGUA